UACGUAGGGUGCGAGCGUUGUCCGGAAUUAUUGGGCGUAAAGGGCUCGUAGGCGGUUUGUCGCGUCGGGAGUGAAAACACUGGGCUUAACUCAGUGCUUGCUUCCGAUACGGGCAGACUAGAGGUAUGCAGGGGAGAACGGAAUUCCUGGUGUAGCGGUGAAAUGCGCAGAUAUCAGGAGGAACACCGGUGGCGAAGGCGGUUCUCUGGGCCUGUACUGACGCUGAGGAACGAAAGCGUGGGGAGCGAACAGG
rnacentral:rRNA from 1 species